rnacentral:lncRNA from 1 species
CGACAGAGCUAGACUCUGUCUCAAAAAAAAAAAGUUAAAAUCUUAAAUGUUAAAGAAGUAGUUUUUGCUUAAUGUGUUUUGUUUGUAGGUCAAGUCUGGGUUCUUCCAUGAAAGUGAUUCCAAAGCUGUUGCUAAAUCCAUUAGAGACCGGGUGACACCGAUAAAGAAGACAAGAGAGAAGAAGCCUGCUGGCUGUUUGGAAGAACGCAGGGAUUCUCAGUGCAAGUCUAUGGGGAAUGUAUUCCCUCAGCCCCAGAAUACAACAUUGCCCCCUGCUCCCGCUCAGCAAACUGGGGCUGAAUGUGAAGAAACUGAAGUUGAUCAACAUGUUAGACGACAGCUUCUACAAAGAAAACCACAGCAGCACUGCUCCUUUGUUGCAGUUACAGAAGCAGCCAAAGCUGACUCAGCCGCAGAUUUUGCCUUUGGUACAAGGUCAGUCCACUGUUUUACCUGUACAUGUGCUUGGACCAACAGUUGUUUCACAACCCCAGGUUUCCCCAUUAACUGUUCAGAAGGUCCCACAGAUAAAGGUAAGACACAUUUUAGAGGUUCUGUAUUCAUUUAAAUAAAUUUAAUACUGCCUAGAUUUUCUGACA